rnacentral:rRNA from 1 species
UACGAAGGGGGCUAGCGUUGCUCGGAAUUACUGGGCGUAAAGGGCGCGUAGGCGGAUGUUUAAGUCAGAGGUCAAAUCCCGGGGCUCAACCUCGGAACUGCCUUUGAUACUGGACAUCUAGAGUACGGGAGAGGUGUGUGGAACUCCGAGUGUAGAGGUGAAAUUCGUAGAUAUUCGGAAGAACACCAGUGGCGAAGGCGACACACUGGCCCGUUACUGACGCUGAGGCGCGAAAGCGUGGGGAGCAAACAGG